rnacentral:rRNA from 1 species
CAGGUUUAUAUUCCUGUACUUGGUGUUACUGCGAAGGGGGGACGGAGAAGGCUAUGUUAGCCGGGCGACGGUUGUCCCGGUUUAAGCAUGUAGGCUGGUUAUCCAGGCAAAUCCGGAUUAUCAAGGCUGAGGUGUGAUGACGAGGCACUACGGUGCUGAAGUAACAAAUGCCCUGCUUCCAGGAAAAGCCUCUAAGCAUCAGGUAACAUCAAAUCGUACCCCAAACCGACACAGGUGGUCAGGUAGAGAAUACCUAGGCGCUUGAGAGAACUCGGGUGAAGGAACUAGGCAAAAUGGUGCCGUAACUUCGGGAGAAGGCACGCUGGUGUGUAGGUGAAGCCCCUGCGGAUGGAGCUGAGACCAGUCG